AGUGAACGCUGGCGGCAGGCCUAACACAUGCCAGUCGAACGGCAGCACAGUGCGUGCUUGCUGUUACGGGUGGGGAGUGGCGGGUGGGUCAGGAGAAUAUCCGAAUCUACUUUUUCGUAGGGCCUAACGUAGGCGCACAUACGCCAGUAGCGCAGACGAUGUACGGGGGAGAGCAGGGGAUCUUCGGCGCUUGCGCGAGUGAAUGCGCGGAUGUCGAGUUAGUUGGUUGGCGGGGUAAAGGCCUACCAAGGCGACGAUCCGUAGCUGGUCUGAGAGGAUGAUCAGCCACACUGGAACUGAGACACGGUCCAGACUCCUACGGGAGGCAGCAGUGGGGAAUAUUGGACAAUGGGCGCAAGCCUGAUCCAGCCAUGCCGCGUGUGUGAAGAAGGCCUUCGGAUUGUAAAGCCCUUUUGUUGGGAAAGAAAAGCAGUAGGUUAAUACCCCGCUGUUCUGACGGUACCCAAAGAAUAAGCACCGGCUAACUUCGUG
rnacentral:rRNA from 1 species